rnacentral:pre_miRNA from 1 species
AUGCUGAUGACGUAUACUUCUUGUGUGGUCCGGAGUCGGAGGGUUAUCUGUUGAUCCCCUCGGGGAAUUUCCCUUCGGCACAAACUCGACCGACAUAUGUUUUGCAUUUUUCACCGUUUUUUUGC